UCCUUUUUUUUUUUUUUUGGACUAUGUCUCAGUUGCAUCAAAGCCCCAUUAACAUUGCCCUUUGGGAUCAAAAAGUAGUCCACCCGAGAAGAAAGAGUAGAGUUUUAGAGAACUGGGGUGAGAAUUCUGGGCAGAUGGCCAAGGUGUGGGCUCCAGGCUGAGCUUGCUGACACAUGACAUUGUAUGUUUCAGGUACUGGGACAAGUUUUCAAUGUCAAAAUCUUUGAAGCCACCAGGGCCUUUUUUGUUUUUGUUUUUUGGCUAGGUCUUGGCAGUACUCCUUCAUAUAGUAGUAGGUUCAGAAACUCAGGCUAAGGAAAGCAUCCAGAAAACAUUGUCUGCCUCUGCAACAGUUUGUGGAUAGCUUGUAAUUGUAGUUCUGAUCUUGUCAAUCUGUCUUAUAACUCUAAAUGUGUGGUCUCACCUGGCUAGAUACAGAAAAUACCUAUCUUCUUAUAGAAGCAGGCAAUCCUCAACCCCAUUAAAAAAGUAUGGUUUCUUGGACAUUCCAUCUAAUAGGAAUGCCAGUUUGCCUCCUGAUAUGUUGCCAGUCUGGCCAUUUCAGCAGUCACUAUUCAGCACUAGAGGAGGACUUCAGUAAAAGUUCCUUUGUCAGUAAGUCUUCCACGCAACAUAUUUGUUUCCAGGUCCUAAUGGCAAUUCCUCAGGAUCUGGAGAAAAAAAAAAAAAAAAAAAAAGAAAAGGAUCAACUCUCACGUUUGAGUUUGUCCCAUUCAUCUACAUAAAGACUAUCUAUCAGUUUGAAGUGUCUUUUUGAGAAUCAGAAAGGGGAGAGGAUAUAGGGGGCAAAGGAUGUAUUCUUUGAGAUCCUGCUCUUAAGCAGUGAUUCUUCUCUAGCACUCCUUAUUUCUAGAAUUUUCUAGCCAUCUCUAACAAAAGCAAAGUGCAAAGAGCAUUUAAUACAAACCAAAACAUGAAAUGAUCUUUUGAUAGUUCAGUGUUGUGGCUGUGACUUGGAAUUUUUCACUACAUUUAAAAAAAAAAAAGCCACAUAUGCCCGGGUAGUCUCUGCAUCAAGUCUGAUACCAUUGCUCCGACGUUAUGAGGCUGAAGCAGUUGUGGCUGAUUGAUGUCACUCUUCUAGCCAUCUCCUAUUUCCACAGAGAGAGGCCGGGUUAAUCCAACUCCAGUCUAACUUCGGAGGCAUCAAGGAUUCUAGGCAGCAUCUCCCGUGUUUCUUUUUCCAAGUGAAUUCCUGGAGGAAAACAAUGAGGUCCAUGUGUCUUUGCAUCCCCAGGGACCAGCUCAGUAAUGGGCGUAUAAGAACACGCUGAAAAAAAUUGUUUUGUUUUUGAACGACAGCGAUUUAAGAGUAGUAAGGUCCUCGUAAAUAUAGGACAUUGUACUCGUGUUUUUCUUCCGAGCAUACAAAUAUUUGCAAUGAGGUUGCACCGCAGACUCCACAGCCAUUGUGGCACCUGGGGCUCUGUGACUUGGGAGGCAGAGGAGAUGGAAUGCCGGUGAGAAGAAGGAGAUUGUGGUGUGAAUGUGAGGGAUGAGGGUGAAUUAGCUUCCUACGGCGGCUGUUACAAGUUUACCACAAGAUAAAUGAGUUAAAACAGUACAGAUUUAUUAUCUCACAGUUCUGGAAGACAGAAGUUCAAACUACUGGCAAAGUUCAAAGUGUUGGCAAGGCUGUGCUCCUCAGGAGGCUCUAGAGGAGAACCUUUUUCUUGCCUUUUCCUGUUUCUAGGGGCCACCGGCAUCCUUCGGCUCAUGGCCUCUUCCUCCAUCUUAAAAGCCAGCUUCUGCAAAUUCGUCUCUAAUUCUGACACUACUUCUCUUGCCUCCCUCUCUCACUUAUAGGGGUCCCUGUGAUGACAGUAAGCUCACCCUGAUAAUCGAGGCUAAUCUCCCCAUCUUAGGGUUAGCCUAUUAGCAACCUAAAUUCCACCGGCAACUUUAAUUCCCCCCUUGCCAUGCACCGUGACAUAUUCACAGGUUCUGGGGAGGAGGGCAUGAGCAUCUUUGUCGGGGCAUUGUUCUGUCCAUCACAGAGAAGCACUCAGAGAUUCCGGACUCCAGUAUCCUCAUUGUACACUUGAGGAAGCUUGGGCUCAGAGGCUUUAUGUUAAUUCCAACAGUUUUUGCAACAGGAGGAGGAGAAUAUCUGUCCAGGAGCCCUAAUCAAGACUCAGCAGGAAGCUGGUGGCUUCCUUUCCUUCCUUCUUUUGCUUCCUUCCUGUUCUUCCUGUGCUUCCUUUCAGUUCUUCCUUCUACAUAUGGGGCCCAUCACAUUCCCACUGACUCAGAUGCUGAGGGGCCAGACUGAAGGGACAGUGGCCAUUGCAUCAAGUCAGAGAACGGAUCUGACCCAUCUAGUAGAAGCUUAUUGUUUUGGCAGAAGCACAAGCUCUUAGAGGUGCAGCUGCAGGGUGUGACCUAUUGGGGACAUUGAGCUCAGUGACCAUGGGCCCUGAGAGUCUGAAAUCCUGGAAUUUCUCCCAAAACGAAGUCCAUGUAGGGAAGCCAAAGUGUGAGUCUUACCCGGCUGGUUUACAACUGACUGACAUUUGCUGCCUGGGCAGCUGUUGUGGGUGCCUGGAAACCCUAUUGGACUAGGACUGGCCCCGGCAAAAAACAAGUGUUAUAGCUGCCCAGUGUCCUCUGAGUGGAUGCUGGUGAUUCUGGUAUGGAGCCCAGAUGUAAGGCAGCAGGUGGUCCAGAAGGCACCAGAAGAGGUCUCCUGUCAAAGUCAGGGCCAGAGAAGAAGGCACAGGGAACCUACUGCACGAGACUUUCACUUGCAACGAGCAACCCAUGAUGAGGAGGGAGGAUUCCUGGGGGCAUUGAGUCCCCCAGACACAAGGACCCAAGACCUUCUUGCUUGGAAAGUGAAUUCCUCAGAAUUCCGAGAUGAUGCCAGUCUUGGAGGAAGAUGACAUGAGGACCCAAAACCUUCUUGCUUGGAAAGUGAAUUCCUGAGAAUUCCGAGAUGAUGCCAGUCUUGGAGAAAGAUGACAUGAGGACCCAAAACCUUCUUGCUUGGAAAGUGAAUUCCUCAAAACUCCACAAAGACUCCAGUCUUGGAGGAAGAUGACAUGAGGACCCAAAACCUUCUUGCUUGGAAAGUGAAUUCCUCAGAACUCCACGAAGACUCCAGUCUUGGAGGAAGACGAGGUGUUGAGAGAUAGCUGGGAUCCCUGAGGAAGGCAGCCCCAGUCUCCGGUGGAGAAUUAAGAGGGGCCCAAGCAGAUGGUUGGUGGUGGAAACGUCACCUCAGUAUAGUACUAUGGAGUUUCCUUUCACCCCCAACAGCCGACGGUUUCCAGGGGCGAAGAGUGAAAAUUGAAGCAAGCGGUAGACAAGGAGGCAGUGCGCCUGCCACCCCCAAGGAAGAGUCAGUUCAGAAGCACAGCAGCUGCUGGAAACCCAGGAGGUUUCCAGUUCGUUCCUGCUGGGACCUGGCAAGAACUGCACUGUCAAGGCUGCAAGAGGCUCCUGACGGCUUCUGACAUGUACAGAAUGGAAUAAGAGAACCUAGCAGAAAUGGAAGCAGAGGCAAGAGGUCUGGAGGCCAGGAAAAUGUCAAUGGAAAGCAGCUAGCAUGAAGACCCCACAGUGUUCCUCCCUCUAGUAGUCUGGUAUUAUUUGGAGCUGAGAUGCUCCCAAUAUGGUUGGGACAUUUGUCCCCUCCAAAUCUCAUGUGAGAAUUUGAUCCCCCAUUUUGGGGAUGGGGUCUAAUGGGAGGAGUUUGGGUCAUGACGGGGGACCCCUCAAGAAUGGCUUUGUGCCCUGCUCACCAGGAAUGAAUGAGCUCUCACUCUACUAGUUCACUGGAGAGCUGGUUUUUUAAAGAGCCUGGCGUCUCCCCAACUUUCUCUCUUGCUCCCCCUUCUCACUGUGUGAUAUACCUGCUCCCCUUUGCCAUCCAUCAUGAGUGGAAGCUUCUUGAAGCCUCCACCUAAAGCAGAUGCCGACACUAUGCUUCCUGCACAGCCUGCCAUACCAUGAGCCAAUAAACCUGUUUUCUUUGUAAAUUA
ensembl:lncRNA LINC00930 long intergenic non-protein coding RNA 930